UACGUAGGUGGCAAGCGUUGUCCGGAUUUACUGGGCGUAAAGGGAGCGUAGGCGGAUACUUAAGUGGGAUGUGAAAUACCUGGGCUUAACUUGGGUGCUGCAUUCCAAACUGGGGGUCUAGAGUGUGGGAGAGGAAAGUGGAAUUCCUAGUGUAGCGGUGAAAUGCGUAGAGAUUAGGAAGAACACCAGUGGCGAAGGCGACUUUCUGGACAAUAACUGACGCUGAGGCUCGAAAGCGUGGGGAGCAAACAGGAUUAGAUACCCUGGUAGUCCACGCCGUAAACGAUGGGUACUAGGUGUCGGAGGUCUCGACUCCUCCUGUGCCGCCGUUAACACAAUAAGUACCCCGCCUGGGGAGUACGGUCGCAAGAUUAAA
rnacentral:rRNA from 1 species